CCGCGAAUGUGAACGCCAUUUUUGUUCCUCCGGUUCUGCUGGUUGUCGGUUCCUCUGGCUCGGUGGCUCGGAUGAUGCAGGCAGCAGCUCCGCAACCGAUUUCAGAUUUGUCAGCGUGUCUUCUUCUUCAAUGAAAAGAUGAUGAUCUGAAGAUGGACUAACGGGCAAAUCCACCACCACUCAAGGAGGGCCUCUGCCAGCUUGUUCAUGUGCACAGGAGAAGGUACAACACAUCACAUAUAAGUCGUAGGAAUGGUCUUUGUAGACUGCAGUUUGUUACCUUAAUUAUAAUUUAAAUGCCCUUAAAUGAAUACUGAAAGAAAGA